rnacentral:rRNA from 1 species
UACGGAGGAUGCAAGCGUUAUCCGGAUUCAUUGGGUUUAAAGGGUGCGCAGGUGGGCUUGUAAGUCAGUGGUGAAAUGCUGCCGCUUAACGGUAGAAUUGCCAUUGAUACUGCGAGUCUUGAGUAUGGUUGAGGUAGGCGGAAUGUGUUGUGUAGCGGUGAAAUGCAUAGAUAUGACACAGAACGCCGAUUGCGAAGGCAGCUUACUAAGCCAUUACUGACACUGAGGCACGAAAGCGUGGGGAGCGAACAGG